rnacentral:rRNA from 1 species
CCCGCGCCCCGUAAAACGGGACGGCCCGCCAGAGGACCCAAACUCUAAUGUUUCUUAUUGUAACUUCUGAGUAAAACAAACAAAUAAAUCAAAACUUUCAACAACGGAUCUCUUGGUUCUGGCAUCGAUGAAGAACGCAGCAAAAUGCGAUAAGUAAUGUGAAUUGCAGAAUUCAGUGAAUCAUCGAAUCUUUGAACGCACAUUGCGCCCGCUGGUAUUCCGGCGGGCAUGCCUGUUCGAGCGUCAUUUCAACCCUCAAGCCCCCGGGUUUGGUGUUGGGGAUCGGCUCUGCCCUUCUGGGCGGUGCCGCCCCCGAAAUACAUUGGCGGUCUCGCUGCAGCCUCCAUUGCGUAGUAGCUAACACCUCGCAACUGGAACGCGGCGCGGCCAUGCCGUAAAACCCCAACUUCUGAAUGUUGACCUCGGAUCAGGUAGGAAUACCCGCUGAACUUAAGCAUA